GCCGACCUUGCUGACCCGGAAGUUGUUUGGAGCCGCGGUAAGCAUUGAAUGAAGUGAGACACAGCGGGCUGUUCUCUGCUUUAAACCUUCGCUCUAACAGGUUGAAGCUCUGCGGCCGUCAUGGCUCACAUCACCAUCAACCAGUACCUGCAACAGGUUUACGAGGCCAUCGAUAACCGAGAGGGCUCAUUCUGUGCCGAGCUGCUCUCCUUCAAACACCCACAUGUCGCCAACCCACGCCUCCAGCUGGCUAGUCCAGAGGAGAAGUGUCAGCAGCUCCUGGAGCCGCCAUACGAUGAGAUGGUCGCCGCUCACCUCAGGUGUACCUAUGCAGUGUCCAAUCACGACUUUGUUGAAGCCUACAAGUUCCAGACUCUCGUUGUUCAGUCCUUCCUGAGAGCCUUCCAGUCUCACAAAGAAGAGAACUGGGCUCUGCCGGUGAUGUUCGCUGUCACUCUGGAUCUCAGGAUAUUUGCCAACAAUGCGGAGCAGCAGCUGCAGAAGAAGGGUAAAGGUCAGCCGGGGGAGAUGUUGGAGAAGGCUGCGGAACAGCUGAUGAGCUGCUUCAGAGUGUGUGCCAGCGACAAUCGAGCAGGGAUUGAGGACUCAAAGAAGUGGGGGAUGAUGUUUCUGAGUAACCAGCUGUUUAAGAUCUACUUUAAGAUCAAUAAGCUGCACCUGUGUAAACCUCUGAUCAGGGCCAUUGACAGCUCCAACCUGAAGAACGACUACAGCCCCGCCCAGAAGGUCACCUACAAAUACUACGUGGGCCGCAAGGCCAUGUUCGACAGCGACUUCAAGCCAGCGGAGGAGUUCCUGUCCUACGCCUUCCAUCACUGUCAUCGAUCCAGUCAGAAGAACAAGAGGAUGAUCCUCAUCUACCUGCUGCCUGUCAAGAUGCUGCUGGGUCACAUGCCAACUCAUCAGCUCCUGAAGAAGUACGACCUCAUACAGUUUGCUGAUGUCACCAGAGCAGUGAGUGAGGGGAACCUGCUGCUGCUGAACGAGGCUUUGUCCAAACACGAGACUUUCUUCAUCCGCUGUGGGAUCUUCCUCAUCCUUGAAAAGCUCCGCAUCAUCACCUACAGGAACCUCUUCAAGAAAGUGUGAGUACUACCGCUCCCCCUGGUGGAUCCUCAGGUGCUGCAGCUCCCCCUGGUGGAUCCUCAGGUACUGCAGCUCCCCCUGGUGGAUCCUCAGGUGCUGCACCUCCCCUCUGGUGGAUCCUCAGUUACUGCAGCUCCCCCUGGUGGAUCCUCAGGUACUGCAGCCCUUCCUGGUGGAUCUUCAGGUACUGCAGCUCCUCCUGGUGGAUCCUCAGGUAGUGCAGCGUCCCCUGGUGAAUCCUCAGGUACUGCAGCUCCCCUCUGGUGGAUCCUCAGUUACUGCAGCACCCCCUGGUGGAUCCUCAGGUACUGCAGCCCCUCCUGGUGGAUCCUCAGGUACUGCAGCUCCUCCUGGUGGAUCCUCAGGUACUAGAGCGCCCCUAGAGGAUCCUGAGGUACUGCAGCUCCCCCUGGUGGAUCUUCAGGUACUGCAGCACCCCCUGGUGGAUCCUCAGGUACUGCAGCGCCCCCUGGUGAAUCCUCAGGUACUGCAGCUCCCCUCUGGUAGAUCCUCAGUUACUGCAGCACCCCCUGGUGGAUCCUCAGGUACUGCAGUUCCCCUAGAGGAUCCUCAGGUACUGCACCUCCCCCUAGUGGAUCCUUCAGGUACUGCAGCUCCACUAGGAGAUCCUCAAGUACUGCAGCUUCCCCUAGUGGAUCCUCAGGUACUGCAGCUCCCUUAGAGGAUCCUUCAGGUACUUCAGCUCCCCUGGUGGAUCCUCAGGUACUGCAGCUCCCCUAGAGGAUCCUCAGGUACUGCCAUGUCCCCUAGUGGAUCCUCAGGUACUGCAGCUCCCCCUAGUGGAUCCUCAGGUACUGCAGCUCCCCUAGAGGAUCCUUCAGGUACUGCAGCUCCCCUAGUGGAUCCUCAGGUACUGCAGCUCCACUAGUGGAUCCUCAGGUACUGCAGCUCCCUUAGAGGAUCCUUCAGGUACUGCCGCGUCCCCUAGUGGAUCCGUCAGGUACUGCAGCUCCCCCUCGUAAAUCCUCAGGUACUGUAGCUCCCCCUAGUGGAUCCUCAGGUACUGCAGCUCCCCCUGGUGGAUCCUCAGGUACUGCAGCUCCCCCUGGUGGAUCCUCAGGUACUGCAGCUCCCCCUGGUGGAUCCUCAGGUACUGCAGCUCCCCCUGGUGGAUCCUCAGGUACUGCAGCUCCCUCUGGUGGAUCCCCAGGUACUGCAUUCACAGAUAGAGUACCAGGACCAGUGUUAUUUCAUUGUAAUGGAACGGAACAGUACGGUAGCAGGAUGCUAAUCGUCUUUUCUAGACGGAUUGUGAAAUAAAAUAUGUUGAACACACUAUGGUCUGAGAUCCACCUUAGACCAUAUCAUGUGAUCACACCUGUCAUUUCUGACCGUUGUCUCAAAGCAUCAGUUGAUUUCCUUUUAAAGCAAACAUGGUAGUAAUUAGCUUACGUCGCUAUGUUAGCAUAUUGUUCAAUACAAUAAAGCCUGAGCUAGCUUUCAGUGAACAUCUACUGCUGAAGAUGAUAUAAGUUUUCCCACCACUCAGACAGAGGCUAAUACAUACAGCAAACUGUUGACAUAAUGCAGUUUUAGCUCCAUGUAAAGUGAAUAAAUGUGGUGUUUACGUUUGGCACCAACGUUCACUUGGACUCAAGAAUGAAAUGAUUAGAUUUUGGUCGUCAAAAGUCAAAGGUCACUGUGACCUGGUCUGUCUCAUUUUUGUGAUCAUGGAACUAAGAACAGUUUGAGGGAAUUUACUCAAAUUUGGCACAAACGUCUACUUCGUCUUAAGAAUUACCAAAUUUGAAUUUGGUGGUCAAAUAUCAAAGUUACUGUGACCUUGCAACCAUCUCAUUCUUGUGAAAGUGAUAUCUUUAGAACACCAUGAGGGAUUUUCUUCAGAUUUGGCACAAACAUCCACUUAGACUCAAUAAUGAAAUGCCUAGAAUUUGGUAGUCAAAUGUCAAGGUUACUGUGAUGUUACGUCAGUCUCAUUCGCAUUAACAUAACAUUUUAAGAACACCUUGAAGGAAUUUUCUCAAAUGUGGCACAAACGUCCGUAUGGACUCAACAAUGACGUGCUUAAAAUUUGGUGGUCAAAGGUCACUGUGACCUUGUGUCUGUCUCACCCUUGUCAAUGCAAUAUCUCAAGAUCACCUUGAGGGAGUUUCUUCAAAUUUGGCACAGACGUCAGAUUGGACUCAGUGAUCAGGGGUUAGAUUUCGGUAGUUGAAGGUCAAGGUCACUCUGACCUGGUCUGUCUGAUCGUAUUUUUGACCAGAUGAUUUUGGCUCCAUGUCGUUGUUAUUAUGAUGUAUGAUGUCACGAUAAAGCUGCUCUCUGUCCGUCUGUCCGUCUCUCUGUCCCUGUGUCUGUCUGUCUGUCUCUGCCCCUCUGUCUGUCUCUCUGUCUAUCUGUCCCUCUGUCUGUCUCUCUGUCUGUCUCUGCCCCUCUGUCUGUCUGUCUGUCUGUCUCUGCCCCUCUGUCUGUCUCUCUGUCUAUCUGUCCCUCUGUCUGUCUCUCUGUCUGUCUCUGCCCCUCUGUCUGUCUGUCUGUCCAUCUGUCCCUCUGUCUGUCUGUCCCUCUGCCUGUCCCUCUGUCUGUCUCUGCCCCUCUGUCUGUCUGUCUGUCCAUCUGUCCCUCUGUCUGUCCCUCUGUCCCCCUGUCCGUCCUCAGGUACCUCCUGCUGAGGACGCACCAGCUUCCUCUGGACGCCUUCCUGGUGUCUCUGAAGAUGAUGCAGCAGGAGGACGUGGACAUUGACGAGGUGCAGUGUAUCCUCGCCAACCUCAUCUACGUGGGUCACAUCAAAGGUUACAUCUCCCA